rnacentral:rRNA from 1 species
AGGUUACUGCUAUCGGUGUUCGCCUAAGCCAUGCGAGUCAUAUGUUCUUCGUGAACAUGGCGUACUGCUCAGUAACACGUGGAUAACCUGCCCUUGGGUCCGGCAUAACCCCGGGAAACUGGGGAUAAUUCCGGAUAACGCAUAUAUGCUGGAAUGCUUUCUGCGUAAAAUGGAUUCGUCUGCCCAAGGAUGGGUCUGCGGCCUAUCAGGUAGUAGUGGGUGUAAUGUACCUACUAGCCGACGACGGGUACGGGUUGUGAGAGCAAGAGCCCGGAGAUGGAUUCUGAGACAUGAAUCCAGGCCCUACGGGGCGCAGCAGGCGCGAAAACUUUACAAUGCGGGAAACCGUGAUAAGGGGACACCGAGUGCCAGCAUCCUAUGCUGGCUGUCCGGGUGUGUAAAAUACACCUGUUAGCAAGGGCCGGGCAAGACCGGUGCCAGCCGCCGCGGUAACACCGGCGGCCCGAGUGGUGAUCGUGAUUAUUGGGUCUAAAGGGUCCGUAGCCGGUUUGGUCAGUCCUCCGGGAAAUCUGACAGCUUAACUGUUAGGCUUUCGGAGGAUACUGCCAGACUUGGAACCGGGAGAGGUAAGAGGUACUACAGGGGUAGGAGUGAAAUCUUGUAAUCCCUGUGGGACCACCUGUGGCGAAGGCGUCUUACCAGAACGGGUUCGACGGUGAGGGACGAAAGCUGGGGGCACGAACCGGAUUAGAUGCCCGGGUAGUCCCAGCCGUAAACGAUGCUCGCUAGGUGUCAGGCAUGGCGCGACCGUGUCUGGUGCCGCAGGGAAGCCGUGAAGCGAGCCACCUGGGAAGUACGGCCGCAAGGCUGAAACUUAA